rnacentral:misc_RNA from 1 species
UUUUUUUUUUUUCUUUUUAUUGAUUCUCAUUGUCGGGGCAUGUUGUCUGUUGUUAAGAUGUAGCUUUAUUUCUUCACUGCUUUCAAUCCUACACUGAUUAUUAAUGAGAAAGAAGUAUUUUUGGGCAAGUUGGACGAGUCAGUGACUGACUUAUUGAAAAGUGCCUUUCGGCGUUGUUCCAUUACUAGAUUGACCCAUGAUAUUCACUGUUAGCAUAAUCCAACACAGAUUCCUAAACUAAGUACCCAAACACAUUGUUAUUCUCUUGUAUAAAUGGACACUAAGGUUCUGAACUUUUGUUAUUGGGGUCCUGUUUAGUAAUGAAUUCUAAGUAGGGACUAAUGGGUUUACUUAGAUGUAAAUGUUGUCUGUGCUUUUCUGUAUAUGUGGUUGGCUGGGCGGUUCUCUUGUCUCUGGGGGUUCAUGGGGUGCAUGUGUGAGCAACAAGCACUAUGUAAUUACUUGUGUGUUUCUAUGUACUUCUUUCCUAGUUUUUGCUAGAAUGGAAGUGGAACCCAUACAAUGGGUAUUAACAAUCGUUUGUCAGCAAAUUCUGUUGGCGUCCUUAUCAAUUUUCAUCCCUUUCUACUAAUUAAUUAAUUUCACUCUGUAUGUACAAGUAGAUCCUAAAAACAUAUACUUGCAAAUGAUUAAUAGUUUUUAUGCUAAUCAUUGACUUAUUUCCAUUUAGAGCUACUCAUAGCACAUAUGAGCUUCAAAACAUGUUUAUUGAUGUGAAUGUAAUAAUUCAAUGACACUUGCCAACAACACAUAGUGAACAACAUAUUAAAAGUUUGAAGAUUUUGAUUUAAAAUCACACUUAGAUGCGAUCUGGCGGGAUUGCAAUAAAUGGAAGAUUUGGCUGAAGUCACAGGGUGUGAAAUUGGUGGCAAGUGAGGGAUGGUUCUUUUUGGCCUUACAUGAAAGAAAUAACUCUCAUAAUCCAAGAUAUGUAUAUAAGGCUGUAUGUUUAUAAAUUUAAUCAUUUUUGUUUGUGUUAGAAGGCUAAUUUGUUUCUUAUUACCUUUAUGUUUCAAUCCUAUUUUGUAGGUGAAUCCAUCAUGGCUAAAGUUUCACUAUGGCCCCAUCAAAGAUGCGGACCUUCUUCACUCUCUCUUGGUUUUAGAGAAUUGUUGUUAAUAGCAAGGUUGUUUGAGCAACAAAACUAAAUUAUGAUAUUCAAAAUAUUUUGUGGCCAUUUGAGGUCAUCAAAUGGAUGUUUGAGACUUUGAGCCCUAAAUAUAAACAUUUUAAGUGUUUUUUUAUUGUGGAAAACCUGUGUUAGCCCAAAAAUGCAGUGGGUGUAAACGCAAGUUUUUGAUGGCAACCAGGUUGCUUUUCAGAAACUGUCUUAACACACUUAGUUUAUAUCCCAGAAUUAUUUUUUCCAAAUAAUAAAAUUGACUGAUUUUCAAGUCAAUCAUGUUGUGACAGUCUGACACAUUAAGCCAAACCUUAAUUAUACGACCAAAACUGAGAUCUUAUUCUCAGACAGUUUUGCAUAUUGAAAACGAAAGUUUCCUUUUCACUUCUUUGAGGAGCAAGAUGCUAGGGCUUUUUCUCCUUUGCAUUACUUCUCUCAGGCUUUUUCAUCACUUUCCUACCCUUCUCCCUCCUUGGUUACGAUCCCCAAGAAAACCAGACCCUAAAUAACAAUACUCUCCCUCCCUCUCUCUAUUAACGUAGAUAGCUUUCUCAGAUCCUCACUGAUAGUUUUGCUCACUCUACUGUAAUUUAUACAAAAAACCAGUGUUGUGAGCUGAUCUUCUUAUCUUGAUCAUGCGUCAUUUGUUGUCUAUUUUCACUAGGAGUAGAUAACUAGGAGUAGAUAUUUGCAUAAUCUUUUUCUGCAGCCUAAAGCUUUUUCUGGUUUCCAUAGGACAUGUAGCAUGUGAGGAUUGAGGAGACUGGUUCUCUCCUGAGAUUUCAUCUUACCGACUUCUGUAUCUUUCGGUUAAUGUUGACAGUCAUUUGAAAACAUUGUUAAGUACUUUGUUUUCCAUCCAAAAGGACAUAUAAUAUUUUCAUAACUAUAGGAGUCGAUUUGCUGUGGUCUUGCUAAGGAGGACACAAACUAAU